GAGGGUAUAGCUCAAGUGGUAGAGUGCAUGCUUGGCAUGCACCAGGUCCUGGGUUCAAUCCCUGGUACCUCCU
rfam:Camelus ferus unplaced genomic scaffold scaffold1086, whole genome shotgun sequence.